GAUGAACGCUGGCGGCGUGCCUAAUACAUGCAAGUCGAGCGAACAGACGAGGAGCUUGCUCCUCUGACGUUAGCGGCGGACGGGUGAGUAACACGUGGAUAACCUACCUAUAAGACUGGGAUAACUUCGGGAAACCGGAGCUAAUACCGGAUAACAUGUUGAACCGCAUGGUUCAACAGUGAAAGACGGUCUUGCUGUCACUUAUAGAUGGAUCCGCGCCGCAUUAGCUAGUUGGUAAGGUAACGGCUUACCAAGGCAACGAUGCGUAGCCGACCUGAGAGGGUGAUCGGCCACACUGGAACUGAGACACGGUCCAGACUCCUAAGGGAGGCAGCAGUAGGGAAUCUUCCGCAAUGGGCGAAAGCCAGACGGAGCCACGCCGCGUGAGUGAAGAAGGUCUUCGGAUCGUAAAACUCUGUUAUUAGGGAAGAACAAAUGUGUAAGUAACUAUGCACGUCUUGACGGUACCUAAUCAGAAAGCCACGGCUAACUACGUG
rnacentral:rRNA from 1 species